AGAAUGGCAAGUAAUAAAACAUUUUCAUUCAAAAGGGGCGUGUGAAUCCUUAGCCAUCCAUUCAGAUUUGCAAGUAUCCAAAGGCAAUCAACUACUCCAAUUUGAAUUAAAAAACAUGAAGAUCCAAGCACUUAUACACUUUCCUUUUCAAGCAUUUUCCAUGAGGAAUUCGUCCACAACAACUCAGCCUAGCAAGACACGUUCAAAAUGCCCAAAAC
rnacentral:lncRNA from 1 species